UUCAUUCCACUUGCCUUUGGGCCUUCAGAUUGCUCUGCAUUUCUCUGCAUCUAGAGGAGUGAAAAACAGACAUCUCACAGAGAGACUCUGUAAGCCUACUGUGGUUCUUGGCUCCUGACACUGGCUUUUGAAAACAAAAGCCCUCCAAAAAAAAAAAAAAAAAAAGACCUCCAAAAAACCUCACCACAAACACAAACAUAAGAAACCCUCUGCAGCCCCCACCACAAACACAAACAUAUGAAACCCUCUGCAGCCUGAGAUAAGCACACAGAGUUAGCUAUACUGCAGCCAUGAAAAAGGCUGCUGCUUUUCAUGAAGCCUGGUGAUGGCAGAUUGACAGCUUGGGCAGGAAAAAAAGGGUUUUGCUUUUUCUUGGUAAUUAGGAUAUAUGUUAUUGUCAAACUGAUAUACAGAAACAAGUAGCAAAAUCAAAGGAAGGGCAGUAGCGAAAGGGCCCAGCUUGCUGUGGACAAACUUUUUACGUUAAUAGCGAUGAACAAAGAAAGGCUUCUAGAAACAGCAUGAGCAACAGCCAUAACAGUAUACAAUGUCCAGGAAGAGCACACACAACUGGAAGCAAACUGGAAUGUGAUUUCCAUCCCAGUUAUUGAUGUCAUCUUGUUUUAUGAGUACCUGAGAGUGCCUAAACUAUGGAGGAGAAUCCCAUUAACUCACAUUUCAACCUUCAUCUGAAAUUCGUCUAAAAAGAAGGAGAACUUGGUGUGCCAAAUUAGGGUUAGAAAGUAAUUUAACCUGGCUUUCCCCUUUCAUUUUAUUCCAGUUAUGGAGGUAUGUGGUAACAGAUUCCUCAGUAGGUGAAUCCAUGAGAAGAUUGGUCUUUAAUCGGAUGGGUGAGACUUUCCCUAUCCUGUGCAAAAUCAGACACUGCCUCGAGGAGUUUCCACUCUCCUGAGACAGAGCAGCAAAGGAGAAGGACCUGAUAAACGCCUUAAAAAGCUGGAUUUUCUUCUGGUUGCUAAUACAUCUCCUGUCAUAUCUUCAUCUAUUUGUAUCUUAUCACAGAAGUACAGACAACAUGGCAGGAAGGAACCUUGAGAGGUCAUUGUCCUUGAAGGGACAAUCACUAACAUCUCAUUUCUGAUGGAUAUCUACAUUACCUGCUCUUGACAACUUCCAAGUGCAGAUAUUUCCAAAGCUCUCUGAGGCUUUUUUUUUUCUAAAG
rnacentral:lncRNA from 1 species